rnacentral:tRNA from 2 species
GCACCUCUAGCUCAAUUGGAUAGAGCGGCUGACUACGGAUCAGCAGGUUGAGGGUUCGACUCCUUCGAGGUGCACCA